AAUCCUAUAGUCAAUAAAUGAUAUUAAAUUGCAAAUUUAAAGUAGUAAAAAUACUAGGAUUU
rnacentral:tRNA from 1 species